rnacentral:rRNA from 1 species
GGUUGCAAAGACAACGAGCGAACUGUCGAAUUCGGUGCUUCGCGGCUGCUGCCGAUACCUCGACCAUCGAACGUCACAUCCGAGCGAAUGUCUCGUUAGCACGACGACUUGUCUCUCGAUAUUCGUUGCGGGGGGUUCGAGGCAGCGUCGGCGGACCGGUCUCACCGUUUCGAAUGUUUGGUGUGUCGGGAAUCGGUGCCUCGCCGGGCCUUUGUGUUUCGGCUUCCCACGCGUUCGCUGUGGUUUGUCGCAGACAUGCGGGGAUGGCGCAUCGAGGUUCCAGUUCACACCUCCGCCACAGGGGUGCAUCCGGCCCGUUGCACCGUGCCCCUCCCGCGCGGGGCUUCCGUUUGACGACCGUCGGCGGAGGCGCGGCGCGUGGGGCCGGUUCGGUUCCGUCSGAUCCCUCGGCCUCGNUCCCUCGAUGUCCCGUCCAUGCAGACGGCGGCCUCGCGGMMCCGGUCGGGACCGUUGAGUAUUUCGRUCCGCUGCGUGGCCGGCAUCUCUGUUCGACGGGGAACGGGCGGCGCUGCACCGAAAAGCACGACUCUCGGCAACGGAUAUCUCGGCUCUCGCCACGAUGAAGAACGCAGCGAAAUGCGAUACUUAGUGUGAAUUGCAGAAUCCCGUGAAUCAUCGAUUCUUUGAACGCAAGUUGCGCCUUGGGCCUCGGCCAAGGGCACGUCUGCUUGGGCGUCGCAUUCAAUUAAGCGCCCUUGUCCGUGCUCGGGCAAUGGAGCGGAGCUGGCCGUCUGCGCCUCCCCUGGCUCGGUUGGCUAAAACGGUUUUUGGAUUCCCGUCGUCUCGCACUGGUGAGCGGUUGUCUGGCUGCCUCCGGGGAAUAGGCCCGCGCGGGCCAGUGCAGGAAGCGGGCGGUGUUUCCCUUGCGGCCCCUCCGCCUGUCGCGCCGCGGUUCUCCGACGU